UACGUAGGGUGCGAGCGUUGUCCGGAAUUAUUGGGCGUAAAGAGCUUGUAGGCGGUCUGUCGCGUCUGCUGUGAAAAUCCGGGGCUCAACCCCGGACUUGCAGUGGGUACGGGCAGACUAGAGUGUGGUAGGGGGAGACUGGAAUUCCUGGUGUAGCGGUGAAAUGCGCAGAUAUCAGGAGGAACACCGAUGGCGAAGGCAGCUCGCUGGGACGUUACUGACA
rnacentral:rRNA from 1 species